rnacentral:lncRNA from 1 species
CUGGAAGAAAUGAGAAGAAACUAAAGUUCGUACGAAAGCCGGCCAGAGCAAACGAAAAUGUCCGAUGAUUCAUCGUACGGUGGUCGUGAAUACACUCGGGGAAUCUCGAUGAACGAAACGGCCUGAAUACAGACGCUGCGGACACUGCCUCGUAUAUUAUUGUGGGGAUGAAACUAGGUCAAACGAGUACCUGUGUAUCCAGUGGAGAGAACAAACCAAAUGCAGCCGUAUGAUAACGAGACUCAAACUGGAUCGUCGUGCCCCUCACCCGGAUGGAUGUCGGCCUACGGUACCGAGGCGUAUACGCAAAGAUGACAACGGGGGUCUGAUUCAUCAGUGAACAGCAAAUCUGCACUCGAAAACCUCGGAAGAGACUACUGCGAGAAAGUACGAGAGGUACGAUACCGUCGGUGCUCAAGUAUAACGAUCCCUGUAUCUUGUCCCACUACCUGGACGCCGGUUCUAAAGCAAAGAUUUCAUUGGCCGGUCGAAAAUGGUAUACAGAGUCGUCGGACUUGGGGAUAGCAUCGAUUGAUGAGAUGGAACGUGAAGAGCGUCGACACUGUCCCGUCUGUCGACACCGACGCU